UACGUAGGGGGCAAGCGUUGUCCGGAUUUAUUGGGCGUAAAGAGCGUGUAGGCGGCUAGGUAGGUCCGUUGUGAAAACUCGAGGCUCAACCUCGAGACGUCGAUGGAAACCAUCUGGCUAGAGUCCGGAAGAGGAGAAUGGAAUUCCCGGUGUAGCGGUGAAAUGCGCAGAUAUCGGGAGGAACACCGGUGGCGAAGGCGGUUCUCUGGGCCUUACCUGACGCUGAGGAGCGAAAGCGUGGGGAGCGAACAGG
rnacentral:rRNA from 1 species